rnacentral:rRNA from 1 species
ACGUAGAUAUCUGGAAGAACACCAGUUGCGAAGGCGGUCUCUUGGUCCGACACUGACGCUGAGGCGCGAAAGCGUGGGGAGCAAACAGGAUUAGAUACCCUAGUAGUCCACGCUGUAAACGAUGAAUACUAGGUGUUGGGUUUAAAUACUCAGUGCCGCAGCUAACGCAUUAAGUAUUCCACCUGGGGAGUACGAUCGCAAGGUUGAAACUCAAAGGAAUUGACGGGGGCCCGCACAAGUAGUGGAGCAUGUGGUUUAAUUCGAUGCAACGCGAAGAACCUUACCUAGGCUUGAAAGGCAAGUGACAGGGUAUGAAAGUACCCCUCCAGCAAUGGCACUUGUACAGGUGCUGCAUGGCUGUCGUCAGCUCGUGCCGUGAGGUGUUGGGUUAAGUCCCGCAACGAGCGCAACCCU